rnacentral:rRNA from 1 species
CGCGGUAAUUCCAGCUCCAAUAGCGUAUAUUAAAGUUGCUGCAGUUAAAAAGCUCGUAGUUGGAUCUUGGGAGCGGGCGGGCGGUCCGCCGCGAGGCGAGCCACCGCCCGUCCCCGCCCCUUGCCUCUCGGCGCCCCCUCGAUGCUCUUAGCUGAGUGUCCCGCGGGGCCCGAAGCGUUUACUUUGAAAAAAUUAGAGUGUUCAAAGCAGGCCCGAGCCGCCUGGAUACCGCAGCUAGGA